GGCCUGAUGGAUUAAUGGUUAGAGCACUGCCUAUAUAAGCUGGAAGUCCUGGGUUCGAAACCCAGUCAGAUCA